rfam:Nematostella vectensis strain CH2 x CH6 NEMVEscaffold_21_Cont3902, whole genome shotgun sequence.
ACAACGGCUCUUUUAGGAGCCACCAAGUGACACGGGAGUCGUGAC